rnacentral:rRNA from 1 species
UACGGAGGGGGCUAGCGUUGUUCGGAAUUACUGGGCGUAAAGCGCACGUAGGCGGACUGUUAAGUCGGGGGUGAAAUCCUGGGGCUCAACCUCAGAAUUGCCUCCGAUACUGGCAGUCUCGAGUGCGGGAGAGGUGAGUGGAAUUCCCAGUGUAGAGGUGAAAUUCGUAGAUAUUGGGAAGAACACCAGUGGCGAAGGCGGCUCACUGGCCCGUAACUGACGCUGGAGGUGACGAAAGCGUGGGGAGCAAACAGG